rnacentral:miRNA from 1 species
UUGAAGCUGCCUUGCAGCAGACCCUCCCUCCCAGACCCUCCCACCUCCUGGACAGCAUCCAUAUUGAAGCUGCCUUCAAUAUGGAUGCUGUCCAGGAGGUGGGAGGGUCUGGGAGGGAGGGUCUGCUGCAUAUUGGCCGG